AAAACGCGUGUUUAUCUAAUUUGUACGGUACCAGUUAAAAAGAACAGUGAAUGACCACUACGGUUAAUGCUUGAUGACAAGUCAUGUUACUAUCAAACCAGUUCAGAGAAUGAAAUUAUUGACGAUCUGGACAUAUUUAACAAAUAAAUGUACAGUGUAAUCUGUGAUGGACAACAAUGUUUUGAGGCUAGAAACCCACAGGAUUUGGAACCCCUUUUGCCUGAAGUGGAAGUAUUACACCAGGAUUUGGAUCUACAGCAUUUGGACAGGCAACACCUACAGCAGGAGGAGGGUUAUUUGGGCAGAGUUUGACAGGCACCGGCACAGGGACUUGUCUCUAUGGUGGAAGUGGAGGGUCAGCAUUUGGGACACGGUCAUCAGGAUAUAAUUUCGAUGCAACCCCUAGCAGUACAGGUGGAUUGUUUGGACAGAAGUCUACAGCCAACACUGGCCUGUUUGGCACACCAGCUACAGCUAGCACCAGUAAUUCAUUUGGAUUCAGUAGUACAGCAGGUGGAUUUGGAGCUACAACAACAACCAGUAGCAGUGAAGCUUGCCAGUUUGGAAUGACAAAUAAUGCAGGCAUCGGGCUGUUUUUUGGGAAGUCCAGUGAACCAUACGGAAGCUGGACACCCAAAUAUGUCAAAACAGAAAUCCUUGUCGCCACCAGUAAUAAAAAAUAAAAUAUAGAUGUCUCCUCCAGAACAUCUUCAGGGAUUGGAUUUGGAACCCCUGCGGUAUCGGCCACACAACCUAUGGGCUUUGCCUUUGCACAGGCCAGGCCAUCAGGGUUUGGAGCAUCAACUGGAUUUGGAACAAACACCUCAACAGGAACCAGUAAUCUGUUUGGUCAGCCAACCACACACGCAUCAACUGGUGGGGGACUGUUUGGUCAGAACAAGCCCUUGUUUGGCAACACAACCUCUACUACACAGAGUGGGUUUGGAUUUGGAACCCAGACAAGCACAGGAACUGUUAGUCAUUUUGGUCAAGCAACACAUAACAAGCCACUAUUUUGAGCCACAACUACCCAGCCAAGUCUGUUUGGAACAGGAGCAAACACAUUUGGGCAAACUGCUGCCAGCUCUGGUUUUGGAACAUCGCAAGCUGAUGGAUUGUUUGCAAACAAACCUGUGUUUGGAGUCAGGACUAACUAUACUGGUGAGUUAAGAUUUGGUACCAACAGUAACACAGGAGCCAAUCUUUUUGCCAAACCAUUCUCUACGCCCAAUGCAGGUCAUGGAUUCAACACUGCAACCACUUCAUCUUGAUUUGGUGGAAUCUCAGAUAUUUGAAGGCUUGGAAGAAGAAGAUUUCAGUUUUGGAAGCGACACAUUCCAGCCAAGGAAGAGUGUUAAGAAACUGACAACCAUAAAGAUGGGACAAGAUUCAAGUAACCACAGCAACUUCAUCUGUCCUCUCCUGUUGCAUACAAUAAACAGAGAAGACAGGAAAUUGAUGUUCCUGAAACUGAGAAUAUCAUCAGAAGUACAAACAUCUCCGAUCAGAUAGAUACACCAGAUAGAAGGCCGAACAUGGAUGACACAGUUGCUAUAUUGAAUGCGCAGAAUAAAUCUUCUAGCGUUAGGGAACCAGUUAGUUCCAGUGCAAGAGAACCAGUCAAUUCCAGACUAAUUUGCAGGAUGACACAGUCAAGAUCAGCAUCAUUUCCAUAACGGUGAUGUCAAUAUAGAUGAGAGACCAAUGACAAUGCCACCCCCACACCCAGCGGGUAUUGUACUAUCAAAACCUGGGUAUUACACAGUACCGAGUCAGGAGGCAUUCUCAGAGAUGGUGGAUGAAUAUGGCAACUGCUUUAUUGAGGACUUUGCAAUAGGCAGGGAAGGACACGCAAGUAUCUUCCAGGAAUGACAAAUAUUGCCUAUAUGAACUUUGAUGAGACUGUGUUUUUCCGUCGCAAAGAGGUAAUCAUGUACCCAGACGAUAACAACAAACCUGAAGUGGGUGAAGGUCUCAGUAAGAAUGCUUAGAUCACUUUGGACUGUAUUUGGCUGAGAGAUAAAUCUAUUGGAACUCUAAUUAAGUAUGGUCUGGUUGAUGACUCGGAUGAGGAAGAUAUACCAUAACAGGACAAGAAACGUUUACGUCUGGCACAACAGCAACAGAUGGCUGUACUGUGAGUAAAAUCAUCGUGAGAUGUUAGAGAUCCAGUUGGUGCAUUCGAGAAGCACAAGGGAAGGGAACUGUCCUGUAUUUACACCAUCAGUGGGUGUGGAGGAGCUGCAUCAGUACGCAGAGAGAAAUCAGGAUGAACUCAAGACUUAGGUUCCCACCCAUAUGAAGCAAGUGCGAAACAUAGGAUAUGGUAUGGGAUUUGUGUGUUUGCCAGAGUUUAAAGAUAAGGAAAUAGAAAGAGACACCUACCUGUACCACAAUGCAAGGAGAGAGGCAUUUUCAAGAUGGCUGUCAUCUGUAUCAGGGGAGAUAAUUAGAAAAGAAGUCCAUGAAAGCAAAUACAAGGUUCUGUUGUCAAGUUGAAGCACCUAUCCAAGAAGCUGUUGAGUUAUAUGAGAGAGCAUUUAAAGGGACCAGUGAGAAUCAGCAAUAUUCCCGCCCUCCAUUACUGUGCUACCUCAAGGCUGAGGACUCCGAGGAAGUGGAGGUUUCUGUAUGAGACACAUGUUAUCAUAUCCUUUGUCUGUACUGUCAGAAAUGUCGCCAGUUAGAAAUUCUCCUGAUCACUACAUCAACAUAAAGUCCUCUGGAUUAUAGACCCAGUGCAGAGAAGAGUGGAAGUUAAGCAGACAUUCCGCCCCCAAUGGAGAUUUGUCCCAUUCACAUUUACCCAUCAUCCACCAAGAAGAGUAUGUGGAAAAUUUAUCAUCGCCUUAGCCCAGUGAAGGGUACAACCAAACAUACACUUGAUGGUGAGCUGGAAUAAAACAAAAUAAACUGAUGUCAUGAAUGCUGAAUGAUUUAGACUCAGUUAUACCUGUGUGAUCCAAUUGUUGAAAUAAAUAAGGGAGAUAACUCAAAUUUAGACUAUACAAUAAAAAGGAGUAUUUUAGAUAAAGAGUUUUGUCCUUUAAAUACUCCUUCUCCAGUUGGACAAAAUGAAGGAAGACAAUUGUAUUGGGCAGACAAGAAAUUCUAUGAGAUACGGACAUCCAAAAUUUACAGCUGAAAAAAAGGGAAUGACCUGUGUUCAUACUGUACAAUCAGUUCUUCUAGAUUUCAGCGAAGGCUUCAGUUCUUGCCUUUCCCAGUCCCAGAUGAAGAUGGUUAACAUUACAGAGACUUUAAUGAGGUAUAUUUUGAUGCAGUAUCUAAGAGAGGAGAACAAUUAUACAUGUGGUAACAGUGGUGAAGAUUUUGGGUUUGUAACAAAAUGGAGUCUGCCUUACACCUCAGAAAUUGAACUUACAUAUCAUGGACAAGGGGUCAGAUCUUGCCUACCACCAUGCUGUAUUUACUGUGGAGACAACACCUGCUUGAGGAAAUAGAUCUGUAACUUUAUGAAAAGUUUUCGCGUGUACAUCUAUUAGUGUAACAACCAGUUGAGAAAAUGGUCAAGAAAACUUGGGAGUCAUCAAUUCUUCAAGAAAAAAAAGAGAAGUGAUAUGUGAGCACAGUUCAGUAAACAAAUGUAUGUUGUGUAAAAACAUGCUCCAGUGGGCUUAAUCAACAUUGACAUUACUUAUAUAUAGAUCUUUUGUGGAAAUUACUUUAAGUUUUGUGAUGUAAGGAAUGUGUAUGAAACCAGUUAAGGUGAUUUAUUCUAAUUUGAAUUAUUAUUCAGAUAUAAAAUUUUCAAAGCAGUUUUUGUUUUCAUUCAAUUUUACAGUUCAUUUUGUUAUAUAACACAUGUUAGCCAUGCUAUUUAAAAAAAUUUUGUUUGCAGAGCUACAAUUGAUCUUUCAAAUUGACUUUGCCCAAAUCUUUUUAAUAGUUACUAAAAUGUUCAUUUAUAACAUGUUUUUCCAUGAAUUUUCAAAUAUUGGAGUGAAAUAUAUCUGACAUUUGCACAAUGAAAAAUGUCAAAUACAUGUUCAUGUAUAUUUUUCACUGUCGUGUAUAUUUUUUCACUGUCGUGUAUAUUUUUCACUGUCGUGUAUAUUUUUUCACUGUCGUGUGUAUUUUUCACUGUCAUAACUUGAAGUAAAAAGAAAAUUUGUUUUACAUGUAAGAUUGAAUACCUUUCACUCAUGUACACCAUAUCUUACAUUUUCACUUGUGGCUAUGCCACUCUUAAAAAUUUUGCAUCUGAUGUUCACUUGUGAAAGAUAAUUCCAUCUGAUUUUAUAAACUAUCACAACAAUUGCCAUGUGGGGUUACUGGUCCUUUGGAUUGUGGAGACUAUGUUUGAGUUUGCUUUAACAGAAUUAUGCUGAGGCCAGUGUUAGGGAUGUAUGAGUGGUGUAGUACACUUCAUUACCGCUCAUGAAUAGACAGUUGGGUAUUUUUACUUCCUUUUUAGCUCGACUUUUCGAAGAAAAUGUAGAGCUAUUGCACUCGCCCCGGCGUCGGCGUCAGUGUUGGUUAAAGUUUUUGAUAAAGUCAAAUAUCUCUGUCACUGUCAAAGCUAUUGACUUGAAACUUAAAAUACUUAUUUACCAUCAAAAUAUACACCUGAAGAAACAAUCCCCAUAACUCUGAUUGAAUUUUGACAGAAUUAUGCCCCUAUUUAACUUAGAAUUUUUUGUUAAAAUUUUUGAUAAAGUCAAAUAUCUCUGUUAAUAUUAAAGCUUUUGACUUGAAACUCAAAAUAGUUAUUUACUAUCAAAGUCUACACCAGGAGACACAAUUCCCAUAACUCUGAUUUGAAUUUUGACAGAAUUAUGCCCCUUUUUUCCUUAGAAUUUUAAAAACAUUUUUUUGAUAAAGUCAAAUAUCUCUGUUACUAUUAAAGCUUUUGACUUGAAACUCAAAACAGUUAUUUUCUAUCAAAGUCUACACCAGGAGACACAAUUCCCAUAACUCUGAUUUUAAUUUUGACAGAAUUAUGUCCCUUUUUAACUUGGAAUUUUUUUUACUGGCAAAGCUCUAAUUCAGAGUCAAGCACUGAGAAAAGUCGAGUGCGCUGUCUCACAAACAGCUCUUGUUUGUCUUGCAGUUUUGAUAAAUAAAAAAGAAACUAGUAGUCAGAUAAUAAUUACCUGCACUGAAUGUCACCUGCACUGAAUAUUAUCUGUGUUGAGUAUUACCUGCAUUUUGGGGUUUUGAAGUAUUACCACUGUGAGGUAAUCAUUUCAUUAUGAAAUUAUUGUAUAGUGGACAGGAAAAUAUACUUGGAAAGUUUGGUUUUUAUUCCGAAAUGCAAGGUGUUUGUCCCCUGAACCUUCAUGACAUAAAUCCUAUUUAAACUGGAAGUUGAAUUACAGUGAGAACAAAAAAUGUUAAUGUUGAAGCUCUGCAUGGUGAAAACACUGCAUGUAAAGCAUUUUUCUUAUAAAAAAACAGUCAGUUUACAAUUUACUAAUAUUCCAACAACUUUGCUACAGGACUUCUUCAGGGAAUAUUUUUUUUAUAAAAAUAUAUGGAGUUUUUAUAUGCAUUUAUGAAGCCUUAUGACUCUGGUUGAAUAAAUUAAAUAUAUAUUG